rnacentral:rRNA from 2 species
GCUCAGGAUGAACGCCGGCGGUGUGCCUAAUACAUGCAAGUCGAACGCGUUGGCCCAAUUGAUUGAUGGUGCUUGCACCUGAUUGAUUUUGGUCGCCAACGAGUGGCGGACGGGUGAGUAACACGUAGGUAACCUGCCCAGAAGCGGGGGACAACAUUUGGAAACAGAUGCUAAUACCGCAUAACAGCGUUGUUCGCAUGAACAACGCUUAAAAGAUGGCUUCUCGCUAUCACUUCUGGAUGGACCUGCGGUGCAUUAGCUUGUUGGUGGGGUAACGGCCUACCAAGGCGAUGAUGCAUAGCCGAGUUGAGAGACUGAUCGGCCACAAUGGGACUGAGACACGGCCCAUACUCCUACGGGAGGCAGCAGUAGGGAAUCUUCCACAAUGGGCGCAAGCCUGAUGGAGCAACACCGCGUGAGUGAAGAAGGGUUUCGGCUCGUAAAGCUCUGUUGUUAAAGAAGAACACGUAUGAGAGUAACUGUUCAUACGUUGACGGUAUUUAACCAGAAAGUCACGGCUAACUACGUGCCAGCAGCCGCGGUAAUACGUAGGUGGCAAGCGUUAUCCGGAUUUAUUGGGCGUAAAGAGAGUGCAGGCGGUUUUCUAAGUCUGAUGUGAAAGCCUUCGGCUUAACCGGAGAAGUGCAUCGGAAACUGGAUAACUUGAGUGCAGAAGAGGGUAGUGGAACUCCAUGUGUAGCGGUGGAAUGCGUAGAUAUAUGGAAGAACACCAGUGGCGAAGGCGGCUACSUGGUCUGCAACUGACGCUGAGACUCGAAAGCAUGGGUAGCGAACAGGAUUAGAUACCCUGGUAGUCCAUGCCGUAAACGAUGAGUGCUAGGUGUUGGAGGGUUUCCGCCCUUCAGUGCCGGAGCUAACGCAUUAAGCACUCCGCCUGGGGAGUACGACCGCAAGGUUGAAACUCAAAGGAAUUGACGGGGGCCCGCACAAGCGGUGGAGCAUGUGGUUUAAUUCGAAGCUACGCGAAGAACCUUACCAGGUCUUGACAUCUUGCGCCAACCCUAGAGAUAGGGCGUUUCCUUCGGGAACGCAAUGACAGGUGGUGCAUGGUCGUCGUCAGCUCGUGUCGUGAGAUGUUGGGUUAAGUCCCGCAACGAGCGCAACCCUUGUUACUAGUUGCCAGCAUUAAGUUGGGCACUCUAGUGAGACUGCCGGUGACAAACCGGAGGAAGGUGGGGACGACGUCAGAUCAUCAUGCCCCUUAUGACCUGGGCUACACACGUGCUACAAUGGACGGUACAACGAGUCGCGAACUCGCGAGGGCAAGCAAAUCUCUUAAAACCGUUCUCAGUUCGGACUGCAGGCUGCAACUCGCCUGCACGAAGUCGGAAUCGCUAGUAAUCGCGGAUCAGCAUGCCGCGGUGAAUACGUUCCCGGGCCUUGUACACACCGCCCGUCACACCAUGAGAGUUUGUAACACCCAAAGUCGGUGGGGUAACCUUUUAGGAGCCAGCCGCCUAAGGUGGGACAGAUG